GGUUGGACAGGAAUGAAAAGAGAACAUAGAGAUGAGACCAGAAAUGUGGACCUGCUGACCUUGGUAUUGUGGGAUCCUGACACAUACAUUCUCCAGAUUCACUGAGCUAUCACUGGGUGGGCUCUGAGGAGGUUCCUAUGAGGAAAAUAGGGACCUCAGCUUGCCGCCACCACCCACAGAGUAGGCUCAUAGAAUUUCAUCGCAGAAAAGAAUUCAUGACAUACCAAUGAGAAGCAGAAUUAAAUGUGUAUAUGCUCAAAGGAGAACAAUUCUGUGAGAUAUGCACUUCUACUAUCUGCAUUUCGAAGACACAGAAACUGAAGUGUGGAGAGAUGAAUCUGUUUGCCAGAGCAACUUGUUCCAAGGAGUUACUAAAACUGCAAACAGAGCUUUACAAAAAUGCAGAGGCAAAAG
ensembl:lncRNA